ACAACUAUCAUUUAAUUGGUAAGAUGACCGUCUUCCAAACGGAAUUUAUGGGUUCGAUCCCCAUUAGUUGUA